AGUAGCGAGAGAGAGAGAGAGAAAAUACAGAGGGAGAUGAGUAGAUCUGAUCUGAUGUCAGAUUUUUUUGAAAGGGGGUUUCGAUAUGAAAAUCUACUCCAUCUUCUUCUUCUAAAUCUGAAUCAUCCAUGUUUGUAAGUAUGUAUUCGACUAUAUUUAUAUAUUAUUAAUAAGCUUGAAUUAUAUUUGGUUAAAAUGAGAAUAAUUACCAUCUAUCCCUUGUGGUUCAUAUCAUCUAUCCCUGGGAAAGUGUAAGAGCAGAUGUUCCACCUGGGAUUAAUGGGAUUAAUCCAAAUAUCUGGAAGGAAUUUGUUGAGAUGGAGAAAAAUCCUGAAAAGAUAACAAAGAAUAAGGUGAAUGCAGAGAGGAAAGCAAAGAACACUAUCCAACAUACACUUGGGAAGUGCACAUACCACAACAAGAAGCAUAAGUUAGACGAAAUGAGCGCAAAAGUGGUACCAUCGUCGACUACAGAGAAGUGGUUAUACGGACAUUUAAGACGUGAUGGGACUGUCCAUCCUAGUGCACUUGAAGUGCAUGUGUAAAAGCUAAGCCUUUGAAGCAACCCAAGGCAUAACAGAAAGUAUAUGAUGAGACUGACUUGGAAAAUCUUCAGAAGAAGAAAAGGGAAGCUUUAUGUUAGGUGGUGUUGGACCAAAGAAAAGUGGAAAGAUCGGAACAAGAUGCUCUAGUAAAGGUGCCAUUAUAAGGAAAUCAAGAAGACACUUGGAUAAGCAUAAUAUGAUUUGAGUGAAGAAGUUGUAGGUAAUUUCUUAUUUCUCCAGUUCUUGUAGAAAAUGUAUCCACUGCCUAUGCGCGCAUGAUGAGGUGCGGUGACAUCAAUUGAACAAGGAACCCAAAACAUGCUCAAUUUUGAUCCCGAAUUGUAGAGACAGACUUGUUAUCUAUAGUUUAUUUUGUUAGAUUUCAGUCAUCUUACAUCUGUAAUUGUAUCGAUUGAUUGUAUGUAUGGAUCCAUAUGUAAUGCUGCAAUUUGUAUGUGAUAUAAUAGAAUGGACUGAAUAGUGGUUUCAUAUAUGAUUUGGAAUGGAGUGGCUAGAUACAUGUAUUCUGGUGCAGGAACCCAAAUGUGCAGAUGCAGGAAAUUUUGAAAUAACUUUUUUUUUUAAAUUGGAUUUUUAUUUGAGACGUAUAUCAGACUCGCUCAAUUUGUUUUUGCGUCGCUUAAAAUGGAAAUUUGG